rnacentral:rRNA from 1 species
ACGAACGCUGGCGGCAUGCCUAACACCUGCAAGUCGAACGAAGGCUUCGGCCUUAGUGGCGCACGGGUGCGUAACGCGUGGGAAUCUGCCCUUUGGUUCGGAAUAACAGCUGGAAACGGCUGCUAAUACCGGAUGAUGACGAAAGUCCAAAGAUUUAUCGCCAGAGGAUGAGCCCGCGUUGGAUUAGGUAGUUGGUGGGGUAAAGGCCUACCAAGCCGACGAUCCAUAGCUGGUCUGAGAGGAUGAUCAGCCACACUGGGACUGAGACACGGCCCAGACUCCUACGGGAGGCAGCAGUGGGGAAUAUUGGACAAUGGGCGCAAGCCUGAUCCAGCAAUGCCGCGUGAGUGAUGAAGGCCCUAGGGUUGUAAAGCUCUUUUACCCGGGAAGAUAAUGACUGUACCGGGAGAAUAAGCCCCGGCUAACUCCGUG